UACAGAGGUGGCGAGCGUUGUUCGGAUUUACUGGGCGUAAAGGGCGCGUAGGCGGCGCGGUGUGUCGGGUGUGAAAUCCAUGGGCUCAACCCAUGAAGUGCGCCCGAAACUGCCGCGCUCGAGUUCGGGAGGGGGGAUCGGAAUGCAGGGUGUAGCGGUGAAAUGCGUUGAUAUCCUGCAGAACACCGGAGGCGAAGGCGGAUCCCUGGAACGACACUGACGCUGAGGCGCGAAAGCAGGGGGAGCAAACAGG
rnacentral:rRNA from 1 species